AUUGAACGCUGGCGGCAUGCCUUACACAUGCAAGUCGAACGGCAGCACGGGAGCUUGCUCCUGGUGGCGAGUGGCGAACGGGUGAGUAAUAUAUCGGAACGUACCCUAGAGUGGGGGAUAACGUAGCGAAAGUUACGCUAAUACCGCAUACGAUCUACGGAUGAAAGUGGGGGAUCGCAAGACCUCAUGCUCAUGGAGUGGCCGAUAUCUGAUUAGCUAGUUGGUGGGGUAAAAGCCUACCAAGGCGACGAUCAGUAGCUGGUCUGAGAGGACGACCAGCCACACUGGAACUGAGACACGGUCCAGACUCCUACGGGAGGCAGCAGUGGGGAAUUUUGGACAAUGGGGGCAACCCUGAUCCAGCAAUGCCGCGUGAGUGAAGAAGGCCUUCGGGUUGUAAAGCUCUUUUGUCAGGGAAGAAACGGUUCAGGCUAAUAUCCUGGGCUAAUGACGGUACCUGAAGAAUAAGCACCGGCUAACUACGUGC
rnacentral:rRNA from 1 species